UUACAGGGGAGGAGCCCAGGUCAGCAGGGUCAGGUUACAGGGGGAGGAGCCCAGGUCAGCAGGGUCAGGUUACAGGGGGAGGAGCCCAGGUCAGCAGGGUCAGGUUACAGGGGAGGAGCCCAGGUCAGCAGGGUCAGGUUACAGGGGGAGGAGCCCAGGUCAGCAGGGUCAGGUUACAGGGGGAGGAGCCCAGGUCAGCAGGGUCAGGUUACAGGGGGAGGAGCCCAGGUCAGCAGGGUCAGGUUACAGGGGGAGGAGCCCAGGUCAGCAGGGUCAGGUUACAGGGGGAGGAGCCCAGGUCAGCAGGGUCAGGUUACAGGGGGAGGAGCCCAGGUCAGCAGGGUCAGGUUACAGGGGGAGGAGCCCAGGUCAGCAGGGUCAGGUUACAGGGGGAGGAGCCCAGGUCAGCAGGGUCAGGUUACAGGGGGAGGAGCCCAGGUCAGCAGGGUCAGGUUACAGGGGGAGGAGCCCAGGUCAGCAGGGUCAGGUUACAGGGGGAGGA